rnacentral:rRNA from 1 species
AUUGAACGCUGGCGGCAGGCCUAACACAUGCAAGUCGAGCGGAGCGGCGGACGGGUGAGUAAUGCCUAGGAAUCUGCCUGGUAGUGGGGGAUAACGCCCGGAAACGGGCGCUAAUACCGCAUACUAUCAGAUGAGCCUAGGUGGGAUUAGCUAGUUGUGGGGGUAAAGGCCUACCCAGGCGACGACCCGUAACUGGCCUGAGAGGAUGAUCAGUCACCCUGGAACUGAAACACGGUCCAGGCUCCUACUGGAGGCAGCAGUGGGGAAUAUUGAACAAUGGGCGAAAUCCAGAUCCAGCCAUGCCGCGUGUGUGAAGAAGGUCUUCGGAUUGUAAAGCACUUUAAGUUGGGAGGCGUUACCAACAGAAUAAGCACCGGCGAACUUCGUGCCAGCCGCCGCGGUAAUAC